UACGUAGGGUGCGAGCGUUGUCCGGAAUUAUUGGGCGUAAAGAGCUCGUAGGCGGUUUGUCGCGUCGGCCGUGAAAACUUGGGGCUUAACCCCAAGCUUGCGGUCGAUACGGGCAGACUUGAGUUCGGCAGGGGAGACUGGAAUUCCUGGUGUAGCGGUGAAAUGCGCAGAUAUCAGGAGGAACACCGGUGGCGAAGGCGGGUCUCUGGGAAUAUCCUGACGCUGAGGAGCGAAAGUGUGGGGAGCGAACAGG
rnacentral:rRNA from 1 species